CUUGUAGGUGGCUUGUCGCGUCUGCCGUGAAAGGCUUCAGCUUAACUGGAGUAGUGCGGUGGGUACGGGCUGGCUUGAGUGCGGUAGGGGAGACUGGAAUUCCCGGUGUAACGGUGGAAUGUGUAGAUAUCGGGAAGAACACCAAUGGCGAAGGCAGGUCUCUGGGCCGUUACUGACGCUGAGGAGCGAAAGCGUGGGGAGCGAACA
rnacentral:rRNA from 1 species